GCUACUGAAAAAUUACUAAAUUCAUCAUUUGUGCAAACUUGUUUUUUGUAGACGGACGUUAUGUCGAGCGACUCCAGUGACGAAGAAGCUCUUGCAGUUUUUCUGUUUUAUAGAAAUAGAAGACGUCAACGCAAGAGUAGAAAAUACUGGAUUCAUCCAUAUAUUGAAAGAAACAUAAAUUGUAGAGUUUUUGUAGCCGCACAAGAACUACAACAUGAUGAUAAGAAAUUUUUAUCUUUCUACCGAAUGUCUAAAGAGACCUACUUGCAUCUUGUUACAUUAUUAAAACCAGCUAUACAUCAACGAAAUACUAAAUUUAGAGAAUGUGUCAGUGCGGAAGAAAGGAUUCUGAUAACCCUAAGAUAUUUGGGGUCAGGUUGUACGUUUGUAAGCCUAGGAUUGUAUUUUGCAAGAGGAGAUAAUACAAUUUGCAAGGUCAUAGCAUAGGUCAUUUAAUUACAAAUCCUACCAUUCGAUAGUAUUAAUGGCAUGUUGUGAUUCCGAUGGAUUAUUUACUGUUAUCGAGACUGGCUAUGUGGGUAGGAACAGCGACGGUGGAAUUUUCAGUGCUUCCAGGAUCAAACGUUGGAUAGAACAUGGACGUCUUAAUAUUCCUUUACCUUCCAAACUUCCUAAUGACCAAUCUAACUAUGAAUUUCCAUACUAUUUUAUUGGGGAUGAGGCAUUUCCCCUUCUAUCUUACUUGAUGAGACCAUAUCCCCAAAGAACCUUGAAUGACUUGAGAAGGGUAUUUAAAUAAAACACUAUUUUGACCGGAUUGAA